GGGGAAUAUUGCACAAUGGGCGAAAGCCUGAUGCAGCAACGCCGCGUGAGCGAUGAAGGUCUUCGGAUCGUAGAGCUCUGUCCUCAAGGAAGAAUAAUGACGGUACUUGAGGAGUAAGCCCCGGCUAACUACGUGCCAGCAGCCGCGGUAAUACGUAGGGGGCUAGCGUUAUCCGGAAUUACUGGGCGUAAAGGGUGCGUAGGCGGUCUUGCAAGUCAGAGGUGAAAGGCUACGGCUCAACCGUAGUAAGCCUUUGAAACUGUAGGACUUGAGUGCAGGAGAGGAGAGUGGAAUUCCCAGUGUAGCGGUGAAAUGCGUAGAUAUUGGGAGGAACACCAGUUGCGAAGGCGGCUCUCUGGACUGUAACUGACGCUGAGGCACGAAAGCGUGGGGAGCGAAC
rnacentral:rRNA from 1 species